AUGUGGGAGAGCGGCGGAACCUCGGAACCGGUUUUGGCCUCUCCACGUUCCGAUCCUCGGGAAUUCCUCGGGAAUUCCUCGGGAAGCGCGGAAGGACACGGAAAUCAGGCCAAGAGGGGCUUAGCGGAGCUUUUCCACGUCAGAAACCAUCGGAGUCACGCGGCUGCUCCAAACCCGGAUUUGGGGCUGUUUCCACCCAAAUCCGCAGCGGGACAGAGAUGGGGGUGCUCGGGGUUAGCGGGAAUCGCCCACGGGAGGCGGCGAUCCCACGGAUUGGGAAGUUAUUUUGGGGGAAAUUUGGGAUAUUUUCCCUUUGGAUCCCCGUUUCUAUCCUCCUCAAGGCUCCAGGGAUGGAAUUGUUCCUCCUGGGAAGUUAUUUUGGGGGAAAUUUGGGAUAUUUUCCCUUGGGAUCCCCAUUCCCGUUCUCCUCAAGGUUCCAGGGAUGGAAUUGUUCCUCCUGGGAAGUUAUUUUGGGGAAAAAUUGGGAUAUUUUCCCAUGGAAUCCCCAUUUCCCUUCUCUCCAAAGCUCUGGGGACAGAGUUGUUCCUCCUGGGAAGUUAUUUUGGGGAAAAAUUGGGAUAUUUUCCCGUGGAAUCUCCAUCUCCAUCCUCCCCAAGGCUCCAGGGAUGGAAUUAUUCCCCUCAGAGUGACAUUUUGGGGGAAAUUUGGGAUAUUUUCCCCUUGGAUCCCCAUUUCCCUUCUCUCCAAAGCUCUGGGGAUGGAAUUGUUCCUCCUGGGAAGUUAUUUUGGGGGAAAUUUGGGAUAUUUUCCCAUGGGAUCCCCAUCUCCAUCUUCCCCAAGGCUCCAGGGAUGGAAUUAUUCCCCUCAGAGUGGCAUUUUGGGGGAAAUUUGGGAUAUUUUCCCAUGGGAUCCCCAUUUCCGUUCUCUCCAAAGCUCUGGGGACAGAGUUGUUCCUCCUGGGAAGUUAUUUUGGGGGAAAUUUGGGAUAUUUUCCCCUGGAAUCUCCAUCUCCAUCCUCCCCAAGGCUCCAGGGAUGGAAUUGUUCCUCCUGGGAAGUUAAUUUGGGGGAAAUUUGGGAUGUUUUCCCAUGGGAUCUCCAUUUCCGUUCUCUCCAAAGCUCUGGGGACAGAGUUGUUCCUCCUGGGAAGUUAUUUUGGGGAAAAAUUGGGAUAUUUUCCCAUGGGAUCCCCAUUUCCAUCCUCCCCAAGGCUCCAGGGAUGGAAUUGUUCCUCCUGGGAAAUAAUUUUGGGGAAAAAUUGGGAUAUUUUCCCGUGGGAUCCCCAUUUCCCUUCUCUCCAAAGCUCUGGGGACAGAGUUGUUCCUCCUGGGAAGUUAUUUUGGGGGAAAUUUGGGAUAUUUUCCCAUGGAAUCUCCAUCUCCAUCCGCCCCCAAGGCUCCAGGGAUGGAAUUGUUCCUCCUGGGAAGUUAUUUUGGGGGAAAUUUGGGAUAUUUUCCCUUGGGAUCCCCAUCUCCAUCCUCCCCAAGGCUCCAGGGAUGGAAUUGUUCCUCCUGGGAAGUUAUUUCAGGGAAAAAUUGGGAUAUUUUCCCGUAGGAUCCCCAUCUCCGUCCUCCCCAAGGCUCCAGGGAUGGAAUUAUUCCCCUCAGAGUGACAUUUUGGGGGAAAUUUGGGAUAUUUUCCCAUGGGAUCCCCAUUUCCAUCCUCCCCAAAGCUCCAGGGAUGGAAUUAUUCCCUCAGAGUGGCAUUUUGGGGGAAAUUUGGGAUAUUUUCCCACAGAAUCUCCAUUUCCAUCGUCCCUAAGGCUCCAGGGAUGGAAUUGUUCCUCCUGGGAAGUUAUUUUUGGGGGAAAUUUGGGAUAUUUUCCCGUGGAAUCUCCAUCUCCAUCCUCCCCAAAGCUCCAGGGAUGGAAUUUCUCCUCCUGGGAAGUUAUUUUGGGGGAAAUUUGGGAUAUUUUCCCAUGGGAUCCCCAUUUCCAUCCUCCCCAAGGCUCCAGGGAUGGAAUUAUUCCCCUCAGGGAGUUUUUUUGGGAUAUUUUCCCCUUGGAUCCCCAUCUCCAUCCUCACUGGGACUCCGGGAUGGGAUUUUUCCCUCAGGGAGGAAUUUUGGGGACAAUUUUCCCCCGGGAUCCCCGUUCCCAUCCUCAGCAGGACUCCGGGGACGGAAUCGUUCCCUCAGGGAGGCGUUGGGGGAAAUCCUCUUUUUCCCUCUUUUUCCCUCUUUUUCCCUCUUUUUCCCUCUUUUCCCCUCUUUAUUUUUCCCUCUUUUUCCCCCUUUUUCCCUCUUUUUCCCUCUUUUUCCCUCUUUUUUCCUCUUUUCCCUCUUUUUCCCUCUUUUUCCCUCUUUUCCCCCUCUUUUCCCCUCUUUUUCCUCUUUUUUCCCUCUUUUUCCUUCUUUUCCCCUCUUUUUCCCUCUUUUCUCCUCUUUUCCCCUCUUUUUCCCUCUUUCUCCCACUUUUUCUCUCUUUUUCCCUCUUUUUCCCUCUUUCUCCCACUUUUUCUUCUCUUUUUCCCUCUUUUCCCCUCUUUUUCCCUCUUUUUCCCUCUUUUCCCCUCUUUUCCCCCCUUUUUCCCUCUUUUCCCCUCUUUUUCCCUCUUUUUUUUUCCCUCUUUAUUUUUCCCUCUUUAUUUUUCCCUCUUUAUUUUUCCCUCUUUUUCCCUCUUUUCCCCUCUUUUCCCUCUUUUCCCCUUUUUCCCUCUUUUCCCCUCUUUUUCCCUCUUUUUCCCUCUUUUCUCCUAUUUUUCCCUCUUUUCCCCUCUUUUUCCCCCUUUUCCCCUCUUUUUCCCUCUUUUCCCUCUUUUCCCCUCUUUUUCCCUCUUUUCCCUCUUUUUCCCUCUUUUUUCCUCUUUUUCCCUCUUUUUUUUCCCUCUUUUCCCUCUUUUUCCUUCUUUUUUCCCUCUUUUUCCCUCUUUUUUCCUCUUUUUUUUCGCUCUUUUCCCCUCUUUUUCCCUCUUUUUCCCUCUUUUCCCCUCUUUUUCCCUCUUUUCCCCUCUUUUUUUUCCCCUCUUUUUCCCUCUUUUUCCCUCUUUUUCCCUCUUUUUCCCUCUUUUCCCGUUCCCGCCCUUCCAGGAUGGGACUGUCCCCCCCCAGGGGACACGGGGGGACACGGAGGGGACACGGGGGGACAUCCCGGAGGUGGCACUGGGGACUUUGGGGAUGUUCCAUCACCAUUCCAGAGAAGGAAAAUCCAUGGAUUUCUGAUCCUUCCGCCGCACGUGUGUGAAAUUCCAUGGAAUUCCAGGAAUAUCCAUGGGAAAGAAGCCUCGGGGUGGGGUGGGGGAAUUUCCUGGUGAUUCCCGGGAGGAAUUUCCUGGUGAUUCCAGGGAGGAAUUUCCUGGUGAUUCCAGGGAGGAAUUUCCUGGUGAUUCCAGGGGGAAUUUCCUGGUGAUUCCCGGGAGGAAUUUCCUGGUGAUUCCCGGGAGGAAUUUCUGCCCCUUCCUGAUCCCGGAUCCCGGGAAGGGUUCCCGGCCCGCGGGACGCGGCUCCUGGAGACGGAAAUAAAGGAUUGUGGAAUUUCGGCGGCCUCCGGGACCUUGGAUUUGUACCCGGGAAUUCCAUCGGGAUCUGGGAAAGGAGGAUCCUGAUCUUCUGGAAGUUGAGGUUAUUCCCUCGGGAUCUGGGAAAGGAGGGCCCCGAUCUUCUGGAAUUUGGGGUUCUUCCAUCGGGAUCUGGGAAAGGAGGAUCCCGAUCUUCUGGGAUCUUGGCUUUGUACCCGGGAAUUCCACCGGGAUCUGGGAAAGGAGGAUCCUGAUCCUCUGGGAUCUUGGAUUUGUACCCAGGAAUUCCCUCAGGAUCUGGAAAGGAGGAUCCCAACCUUCUGGAAUUUGGGAUUCUUCCCUCGGGAUCUGGGAACGAGGAUCCCGAUCUUCUGGAAUUUGGGGUUCUUCCCUUGGGAUCUGGGAAAGGAGGAUCCCGAUCUUCCGGAAUUUGGGGUUCUUCCAUCGGGAUCUGGGAAAGGAGGAUCCCAACCUUCCGGAAUUUGGGAUUCUUCCAUUGGGAUCUGGGAAAGGAGGAUCCUGAUCUCCUGGGGUCUUGGAUUUGUUCCCGGGAAUUCUGUUGGGAUCUGGGAAAGGAGGAUCCCAACCUUCUGGAAGUUGGAAUUCUUCCAUUGGGAUCUGGAAAAGGAGGAUCCUGAUCUUCUGGAAGUUGGAGUUCUUCCCUUGGGAUCUGGGAAAGAGGAUCCCGAUCCCCUGGGACCUCAGCUUUGCCUCCAGGAAUUCCCUCGGGAUCUGGGAAAAGAGGAUCCCGAUCUUCCAGAAUUUGGGGUCCUUCCCUCGGGAUCUGGGAGAGGAGGAUCCCGAUUUUCCGGAAUUUGGGGUUCUUCCCUCAGGAUCUGGGAAAGGAGGAUCCCGAUCUUCCAGAAUUUGGGGUUCUUCCAUUGGGAUCUGGGAAAGGAGGAUCCAGAUCUUCUGGGAUCUCAGCUUUGUACCCGGGAAUUCCAUCGGGAUCUGGGAAAGGAGAAUCCCGAUCUUCCGGAAUUUGGGAUCCUUCCCUCGGGAUCUGGGAAAGGAGGGUCCCGAUCUUCUGGAAUUUGGGGUUCUUCCAUCGGAAUCUGGGAAGGACGGUCCUGAUCUCCUGGGAUCUUGGAUACGUACCCAGGAAUUCCCUCGGGAUCUGGGAAAGGAGGAUCCCGAUCCCUCAGGAACACGGGGGGAUUCUUCCCUCGGAAUAUGGGAAAAUUCCUGUCCCCAAUGUCACAUUUCUGUCCCCCCCCAAUGUCACAUUUCUGUCCCCCCCAAUGUCACAUUUCUGUCCCCCCAAUGUCACAUUUCUGUCCCCAGUGUCACAUUUCUGUCCCCCAAUGUCACAUUUCUGUCCCCCCAAUGUCACAUUUCUGUCCCCAAUGUCACAUUUCUGUCCCCCCAAUGUCACAUUUCUGUCCCCAAUGUCACAUUUCUGUCCCCCCCAAUGUCACAUUUCUGUCCCCAAUGUCACAUUUCUGUCCCCAGUGUCACAUUUCUGUCCCCAAUGUCACAUUUCUGUCCCCCCAAUGUCACAUUUCUGUCCCCAAUGUCACAUUUCUGUCCCCAGUGUCACAUUUCUGUCCCCAAUGUCACAUUCCUGUCCCCAAUGUCACAUUUCUGUCCCCAAUGUCACAUUUCUGUCCCCCCCAAUGUCACAUUUCUGUCCCCAAUGUCACAUUUCUGUCCCCCCAAUGUCACAUUUCUGUCCCCCCCAAUGUCACAUUUCUGUCCCCCCAGUGUCACAUUUCUGUCCCCCCAAUGUCACAUUUCUGUCCCCCCAAUGUCACAUUUCUGUCCCCAGUGUCACAUUUCUGUCCCCAAUGUCACAUUUCUGUCCCCAGUGUCACAUUUCUGUCCCCCCAAUGUCACAUUUCUGUCCCCCCAAUGUCACAUUUCUGUCCCCCCAAUGUCACAUUUCUGUCCCCCCCAAUGUCACAUUUCUGUCCCCAGUGUCACAUUUCUGUCACCCCCAGUGUCACAUUUCUGUCCCCAAUGUCACAUUUCUGUCCCCAGUGUCACAUUUCUGUCCCCCCAAUGUCACAUUUCUGUCCCCCCAAUGUCACAUUUCUGUCCCCCCCAAUGUCACAUUUCUGUCCCCAAUGUCACAUUUCUGUCCCCAAU
ensembl:lncRNA